rnacentral:lncRNA from 1 species
AUUGGCCCUUGACCAGCCUGAUUGGUUGCAGGAGGGGACCAAUCAGAGGUACCUCCCAUUUUUCAUCUGCAGCCCAAUGCAAAGUAAUGACAUGGAUCUGGAGAGAUUCUCUUAGGAGAGAAUCUGGCUAAGUGUCUAGCAGGAUGAUUGAUUAACAAGAUGUUUUGUUUUCAUCAUCUCAGAGAUAAGUACAACUAUUCUGUCAUCUAAUCUGCUAACUCCUACAUUAUCAAUACGCUGUAUUGAGGUAUAAUUGAUAUGCCAAAUAACUGGACACAUUCAACUUGUGCAAUUUGAUGAGUUUGGAGAUACACAUACAUCUGUGAAACCAUCACCAAAAUCAAGAACAACUUUCUCUGAUCUCUGUGGACAUGCUUAAAAUGGCUGACUCACACAGCAAGACUAUUUAACUGUGCCUAAAAUCAACCCACAUUCAGAUGCUAACUGUAAUCCUAUUCCCUGAUCCAUCAGGAAAAAGAGUCUGAUUGACAUAACUUGUCAAGUGUUCGCCCCAGCUUCUAUCAACUAUGGGGAAGGAAGGGCCAGAAGAGGUGUAACCAUCAUGGCUACCAGAGUACAUGGUUUCCAGGCCAAAUACCACAGUGUUCCAGGCAAGGAUGUGGUCAGUUUCCUUCUCUGCUGGAUCCCAAAGCCCAGGGCAGCUCUUGCACAUAGAUCGUUGUCAUUGGAUUUAAGAGGGCCUACCCUGAUAAUACAGGAUAAACUCCUUCUCCCAAAACCUUUUCUUCUCUCAGAAUCUUUUGGCAGCAAACACAUUCAAGCAUCUUCUAUGUGCCAAGAACUUGCUGGAAAACAUCACAAAAGUUAAUAUUUUCUGGAGAUCAAGGAAUGAAACUCAGCCCUCUGCAAAUGGAACACAAACGCCUGGUACAUGGAUGCUACAAUGAAAAGAAUAUGGGUGCUGAAAUCAGAGAGAAUCAUCCAAGAUGAUCCUUAUGCAUGCUGAACUCUGAGAGCCACCAGUGAAGAAGAUAAGUGACCCAUCUACCUGUAGCUGGAAAAUAAAGGCUCUUUGGGAUUCUUUCCCAUGAGUCUUCAUUUCACCAUAUUGGUGAGAGAAGGCAUUCAGGCCCAAUAAUUAACUGAACAUUAGCUGUGUACCAGACACUGUGGUCGACAUUGAGAUAUAACGGAUUUAAGAAAGUCUUUGUGGCUGUGGUGGCUUCAAAUCACUCCCGAGGCUUUAGAAGAAUAUAAUUGCCGUUCUAAGAAGAAUCUGAGGCCUCUAGGAGAUCUGCCAGUAGUGGCCCCAAUGUAUAACAGCACUAGCUCAGUGAAGAGAGAGAGAAAAGAUCUGAAGAGAGUGGUUGCAGUUUGAGCUCUGUCAAUGGGACAGUCCUGGGCAGGAGACUGGGGAGAAGAGGCGGCUUGCUGGUUUUCCUGAACCACUUCCACCCUGAAAGACUCCUUGCAUACAAUCAUCAGAGAAGAACCGUGGGAACCAAGAACCAUGAGCAGGAGAACCAUGAGCACACUGUUCGCAAUGGCCAAGAUUUGGAGGCAACCUAAGUGUCCAUCGACAGACAAAUGGUUAAAGAAAAUGAGGGAGGAGGAAAAAACCAUGGCUGCGGAGGUGAUUUAAUAUCCUGUUGACUCUGAAGAAAAAUACACUUCUUCAUUAUAAGAGUUUUAUUGCCAAUGACUAGAAGGAAAUGUAAAGGGGACAACACAAGAUGACUAACACAGGAAGUUAUAAAACUCACAGCUCUAACUGUCAUGGCCCUGGGCCCAUGGUGCCUGAAUCCCUCUGGGAGUAUUAAAUGGAAGGCCCCCUGGUACCUGAAUUUUGUUUUAGUUUUCUCUCUCCAUCUCUGUGAUUACACAUAAAAUCAGCCAAGCACCUGCUCCCCUCCAGCCUAGAUAACACAUACCUCCAUGCUAUAAAGGGACAAUUUGACCAAGAGACACCCACCUCACCUGACCACAGAGCUGGAAAAUCUACUAUGUCAGACUUCCAUGCAACCGCUGGUGGGAGAAAGUUUUCACGAGUCUCUCUGGGCCCUUAUCCCUCUCCCCUGUAUUCCCAUCCUUAUCCAAAUCCACAUUUCACCAAACUCCCUAACGCUAAGCAGCUGUUGAAGUUCAGAUCACAGUCUCUGAGGAGCUCCUGGUUUCCCAUGGAAUGUGAUUUGCCUCAUCAUCUUACAGCCUGCCUCCACUUUGCUUUCUUAUCAUUUCAGAGGCUU